GAUGAACGCUGGCGGCGUGCCUAAUACAUGCAAGUCGAGCGAACGGGCGAGAAGCUUGCUUCUCUGAUGUUAGCCGCGGACGGGUGAGUAACACGUGGCUCACCUACCUAUAAGACUGGGAUAACUUCGGGAAACCGGAGCUAAUACCGGAUUCUAUUUUGAACCGCAUGGUUCAAAAGUGAAAGACGGUCUUGCUGUCACUUAUAGAUGGAUCCGCGAUGCAUUAGCUAGUUGGUAAGGUAACGGCUUACCAAGGCAACGAUGCAUAGCCGACCUGAGAGGGUGAUCGGAGACACUGGAACUGAGACACGGUCCAGACUCCUACGGGAGGCAGCAGUAGGGAAUCUGCCGCAGUGGGCGAAAGCCUGACGGAGCAACACCGCGUGAGUGAGGAAGGUCUUGGGAUCGUAAAACUAUGUUAUUAGGGAAGAACAGAUGUGUAAGUAACUGUGAACAUCGUGACGGUACCUAAAGAGAAAGCCACGGCUAACUACGUG
rnacentral:rRNA from 1 species